rnacentral:rRNA from 1 species
UACGUAGGGGGCUAGCGUUGUCCGGACUCAUUGGGCGUAAAGCGCGUUUAGGCGGUCCGGUAAGUCCGCUGUGAAAGUCGAGGGCUCAACCCUCGAAUGCCGGUGGAUACUGUCGGGCUUGAGUACGGGAGAGGCGAGUGGAAUUCCUGGUGUAGCGGUGGAAUGCGCAGAUAUCAGGAGGAACACCGAUGGCGAAGGCAGUUCUCUGGGCCGUAACUGACGCUGAGGAGCGAAAGCGUGGGGAGCGAACAGG